rnacentral:rRNA from 1 species
UAGGGAAUCUUCCACAAUGGACGCAAGUCUGAUGGAGCAACGCCGCGUGAGUGAAGAAGGUUUUCGGAUCGUAAAGCUCUGUUGUUGGUGAAGAAGGAUAGAGGCAGUAACUGGUCUUUAUUUGACGGUAAUCAACCAGAAAGUCACGGCUAACUACGUGCCAGCAGCCGCGGUAAUACGUAGGUGGCAAGCGUUGUCCGGAUUUAUUGGGCGUAAAGCGAGCGCAGGCGGAAUGAUAAGUCUGAUGUGAAAGCCCACGGCUCAACCGUGGAACUGCAUCGGAAACUGUCAUUCUUGAGUGCAGAAGAGGAGAGUGGAAUUCCAUGUGUAGCGGUUGAAUGCGUAGAUAUAUGGAAGAACACCAGUGGCGAAGGCGGCUCUCUGGUCUGCAACUGACGCUGAGGCUCGAAAGCAUGGGUAGCGAACAGG